rnacentral:rRNA from 1 species
GAUGAACGCUAGCGGCAGGCUUAAUACAUGCAAGUCGAGGGGCAGCAGGGGUGUAGCAAUGCACUCGCUGGCGACCGGCAAACGGGUGCGGAACACGUACGCAAUCUACCCAAAACUGGUGAAUAGCCCUCCGAAAGGAGGAUUAAUACACCGUAACUUAAUGAAGUGGCAUCACUUUACUAAUAUAGCUCCGGCGGUUUUGGAUGAGCGUGCGCCUGAUUAGGUAGUUGGCGGGGUAACGGCCCACCAAGCCUGCGAUCAGUAACUGGUGUGAGAGCACGACCAGUCACACGGGCACUGAGACACGGGCCCGACUCCUACGGGAGGCAGCAGUAAGGAAUAUUGGUCAAUGGACGCAAGUCUGAACCAGCCAUGCCGCGUGAAGGAUGAAGGUCCUCUGGAUUGUAAACUUCUUUUAUGUGGGACGAACCUCUUAUUCUUAAGAGACUGACGGUACCAUAGGAAUAAGCACCGGCUAACUCCGUGCCAGCAGCCGCCGUAA